rnacentral:rRNA from 1 species
UACGGAGGAUGCGAGCGUUAUCCGGAUUUAUUGGGUUUAAAGGGUGCGUAGGCGGAGUGCUAAGUCAGCGGUAAAAAUUCGGGGCUCAACCCCGUCGUGCCGUUGAAACUGGCGCCCUUGAGUGGGCGAGAAGUAUGCGGAAUGCGUGGUGUAGCGGUGAAAUGCAUAGAUAUCACGCAGAACCCCGAUUGCGAAGGCAGCAUACCGGCGCCCGACUGACGCUGAAGCACGAAAGCGUGGGUAUCGAACGGG